AACAAUACGUCGCUGAUAUGGCGGUGGAGCCGAAGCCUCUAGAAGGUUAACAAAGGCUCACCAUCCUUUACUCAUAUUCCAUACGUCCUCAAUGUAUAGAUCGGUAACAUGCCUCUCAAUUAUCUAAGCUUAGCUUUAAGGGGUUCUUCUGACUUUACUAGAGUGUCUGUUCUCCAUAUUAGGA
rnacentral:ribozyme from 1 species